UACAGAGGGUGCAAGCGUUGUUCGGAAUUAUUGGGCGUAAAGGGCGCGUAGGCGGUGCGGUAAGUCUCUAGUGAAAUCUCCGGGCUCAACUCGGAGCCUGCUAGGGAAACUGCCGUGCUUGAGUGUGGGAGAGGUGAGUGGAAAUUCCCCGGUGUAGCGGUGAAAUGCGUAGAUAUCGGGAGGAACACCUGUGGCGAAAGCGGCUCACUGGACCACAACUGACGCUGAGGCGCGAAAGCUAGGGGAGCAAACGGGG
rnacentral:rRNA from 1 species